AGGAUGAACGCUAGCGACAGGCUUAACACAUGCAAGUCGAGGGGCAGCAUAGAAGUAGCAAUACUUGGUGGCGACCGGCGCACGGGUGAGUAACGCGUAUGCAACCUACCUAUCAGAGGGGAAUAACCCGGCGAAAGUCGGACUAAUACCGCAUAAAACAGGGGCACCGCAUGGUGAUAUUUGUUAAAGAAAUUCGCUGAUAGAUGGGCAUGCGUUCCAUUAGGUAGUUGGUGAGGUAACGGCUCACCAAGCCGACGAUGGAUAGGGAACUGAGAGGUUGGUCCCCCACACUGGUACUGAGACACGGACCAGACUCCUACGGGAGGCAGCAGUGAGGAAUAUUGGUCAAUGGGCGGGAGCCUGAACCAGCCAAGUCGCGUGAAGGAAGAAGGAUCUAUGGUUCGUAAACUUCUUUUGCAGGGGAAUAAAGUGCAGGACGUGUCCUGUUUUGUAUGUACCCUGAGAAUAAGGAUCGGCUAACUCCGUGCCAGCCGCCGC
rnacentral:rRNA from 1 species